rnacentral:rRNA from 1 species
UACGGAGGGGGCUAGCGUUGUUCGGAAUUACUGGGCGUAAAGCGCACGUAGGCGGCGACUCAAGUCAGAGGUGAAAGCCCGGAGCUCAACUCCGGAACUGCCUUUAAGACUGCAUCGCUAGAAUCAUGGAGAGGUGAGUGGAAUUCCGAGUGUAGAGGUGAAAUUCGUAGAUAUUCGGAAGAACACCAGUGGCGAAGGCGACUCACUGGACAUGUAUUGACGCUGAGGCGGCGAAAAGCCAGGGGAGCAAACGGG